GAUGAACGCUGGCGGCGUGCCUAAUACAUGCAAGUCGAGCGAACGGACGAGAAGCUUGCUUCUCUGAUGUUAGCGGCGGGCGGGUGAGUAACACGUGGAUAACCUACCUAUAAGACUGGGAUAACUUCGGGAAACCGGAGCUAAUACCGGAUGAUAUUUUGAACCGCAUGGUUCAAAAGUGAAAGACGGUCUCGCUGUCACUUAUAGAUGGAUCCGCGCUGCAUUAGCUAGUUGGUAAGGUAACGGCUUACCAAGGCAACGAUGCAUAGCCGACCUGAGAGGGUGAACGGCCACACUGGAACUGAGACACGGUCCAGACUCCUACGGGAGGCAGCAGUAGGGAAUCUUCCGCAAUGGGCGAAAGCCUGACGGAGCAACGCCGCGUGAGUGAUGAAGGUCUUCGGAUCGUAAAACUCUGUUAUUAGGGAAGAACAUAUGUGUAAGUAACUGUGCACAUCUUGACGGUACCUAAUCAGAAAGCCACGGCUAACUACGUG
rnacentral:rRNA from 1 species